GAGCGAUUAGCUCAGCUGGUAGAGCGCUACAUUGACAUUGUAGAGGUCACAAGUUCAAGUCUUGUAUCGCUCA
rnacentral:tRNA from 3 species